rnacentral:misc_RNA from 1 species
AUAAGUCAUCAAAAUAUUUUUCCAAGACAUUGUGACAGAUGGAUAUAUUUGGUUAUGUGCGUUGUCUUCUCGUUCACGUAGCUUGUGUACGAUUGGAUAAAAUAUUAGUGUUCUUGCCAUCAAAUGCCUUACAUGCUUUGGUUAAUAUUGUAUGGUAUUAAUAUUGUCAAGUUAUAACUAAAAUGCCAAUAGAUUGUCGGUCUCAUCCUUGUGAAAUGAGAGAAUCC